UACGGGGGGGGCAAGCGUUGUUCGGAAUUACUGGGCGUAAAGGGCUCGUAGGCGGCCAACUAAGUCCGACGUGAAAUCCCCAGGCUCAACCUGGGAACUGCGUCGGAUACUGGAUGGCUUGAAUUCGGGAGAGGGAUGCAGAAUUCCAGGUGUAGCGGUGAAAUGCGUAGAUAUCUGGAGGAACACCGGUGGCGAAGGCGGCAUCCUGGACCGAGAUUGACGCUGAGGCGCGAAAGCCAGGGGAGCAAACGGG
rnacentral:rRNA from 1 species